CCUACGGGUGGCAGCAGUGGGGGAUAUUGCACAAUGGGGGGAACCCUGAUGCAGCGACGCCGCGUGGGUGAAGAAGGGCCUCGGGGUGUAAAGCCAUGUCAGCAGGGGACAAAAUGACGGUACCUGAGAAAGAAGGCUCGGACAAGUACGUUCCAGCAGCCACGGGAAUACGUAGGGGGCCAGCGUUAGCCGGAAAUAACGGGGGGAAAGGGGGACGAGACGGCGAAGCAAGCUAGGGGUGAAAGCCCACGGCCCAACCCCGGGCCUGCUCUUGCAACUGCGGGGCUGGAGGGAAGUAGAGGCAGGCGGAAUUCCUGGUGUAGCGGUGAAAUGCGUAGAUAUUAGGAGGAACACCGGUGGCGAAGGCGGCCUGCUGGGCUGCAACUGACGUUGAGGCCCGAAAGCGUGGGGAGCAAACAGGAUUAGAUACCCCUGUAGUC
rnacentral:rRNA from 1 species